rnacentral:rRNA from 1 species
AUUGAACGCUGGCGGCAGGCCUAACACAUGCAAGUCGAGCGGAUGAAGAGAGCUUGCUCUCUGAUUUAGCGGCGGACGGGUGAGUAACGCCUAGGAAUCUGCCUGGUAGUGGGGGAUAACGUUCCGAAAGGAACGCUAAUACCGCAUACGUCCUACGGGAGAAAGCAGGGGACCUUCGGGCCUUGCGCUAUCAGAUGAGCCUAGGUCGGAUUAGCUAGUUGGUGAGGUAAUGGCUCACCAAGGCGACGAUCCGUAACUGGUCUGAGAGGAUGAGCAGUCACACUGGAACUGAGACACGGUCCAGACUCCUACGGGAGUCAGCAGUGGGGAAUAUUGGACAAUGGGCGAAAGCCUGAUCCAGCCAUGCCGCGUGUGUGAAGAAGGUCUUCGGAUUGUAAAGCACUUUAAGUUGGGAGGAAGGGCAGUAAGUUAAUACCUUGCUGUUUUGACGUUACCGACAGAAUAAGCACCGGCUAACUUCGUGCCAGCAGCCGCCGUAACAC